UUUUGAUGGAAAAACACAUCGGAAAAGGGUGCGUGUUACAUUCACCUCCAUCUUCUGUUUGCACCCUUUAGAAGGCACAAUAUAUCUCUGCCUCAGUUUUGCUGUAAGAAGAAACGUACGGAUGAAAAGACACCACAGAUUUAGACCCGUGUGUCCAGCAGGAAAGGGAGCGCCUGAUAAGACAACAAGCUAUACCUGAACCCCAUUAACCUGUCCUAUAUAUUUCCUAUUGCUUGUAAGUAGCAAAGGAGCCAUGGGACGAGACGAGGAGCUGUGUUCUUACCUAACAAGUAGAAAAGUGCCUCAAAUGAGAAGGAUUACGAUAUUUCUCUUGGCUGCAGAAAUACAGGCUUUCUAUCACUGAAACCUGGUUCUGGUUUGUUUUUUUAUCUUCAAUGCUACUGAAAAGACUUGAAAAGACUUUUUUAAAUGACACUUUUUCUCAUGUAAUAUUGAAAGAUAUUAAAGGUACUUUUUUAAACUGUUACAGUUGAAGUUUCCCAUCCUGAGUAUAAUAAAAAAUGAAUUUGGACAUAAGAUACUUGAGGUUUU